GACGAACGCUGGCGGCGUGCUUAACACAUGCAAGUCGAACGGAAAGGCCCUGCUUUUGUGGGGUGCUCGAGUGGCGAACGGGUGAGUAACACGUGAGUAACCUGCCCUUGACUUUGGGAUAACUUCAGGAAACUGGGGCUAAUACCGGAUAGGAGCUCCUGCUGCAUGGUGGGGGUUGGAAAGUUUCGGCGGUUGGGGAUGGACUCGCGGCUUAUCAGCUUGUUGGUGGGGUAGUGGCUUACCAAGGCUUUGACGGGUAGCCGGCCUGAGAGGGUGACCGGCCACAUUGGGACUGAGAUACGGCCCAGACUCCUACGGGAGGCAGCAGUGGGGAAUAUUGCACAAUGGGCGGAAGCCUGAUGCAGCAACGCCGCGUGCGGGAUGACGGCCUUCGGGCUGUAAACCGCUUUCGCCUGUGACGAAGCGUGAGUGACGGUAAUGGGUAAAGAAGCACCGGCUAACUACGUGCCAGCAGCCGCGGUGAUACGUAGGGUGCGAGCGUUGUCCGGAUUUAUUGGGCGUAAAGGGCUCGUAGGUGGUUGAUCGCGUCGGAAGUGUAAUCUUGGGGCUUAACCCUGAGCGUGCUUUCGAUACGGGUUGACUUGAGGAAGGUAGGGGAGAAUGGAAUUCCUGGUGGAGCGGUGGAAUGCGCAGAUAUCAGGAGGAACACCAGUGGCGAAGGCGGUUCUCUGGGCCUUUCCUGACGCUGAGGAGCGAAAGCGUGGGGAGCGAACAGGCUUAGAUACCCUGGUAGUCCACGCUGUAAACGGUGGGUACUAGGUGUGGGGUCCAUUCCACGGGUUCCGUGCCGUAGCUAACGCUUUAAGUACCCCGCCUGGGGAGUACGGCCGCAAGGCUAAAACUCAAAGGAAUUGACGGGGCCCCGCACAAGCGGCGGAGCAUGCGGAUUAAUUCGAUGCAACGCGUAGAACCUUACCUGGGUUUGACAUGGAUCGGGAGUGCUCAGAGAUGGGUGUGCCUCUUUUGGGGUCGGUUCACAGGUGGUGCAUGGCUGUCGUCAGCUCGUGUCGUGAGAUGUUGGGUUAAGUCCCGCAACGAGCGCAACCCUUGUUCACUGUUGCCAGCACGUUAUGGUGGGGACUCAGUGGAGACCGCCGGGGUCAACUCGGAGGAAGGUGGGGAUGACGUCAAGUCAUCAUGCCCCUUAUGUCCAGGGCUUCACGCAUGCUACAAUGGCUGGUACAGAGAGUGGCGAGCCUGUGAGGGUGAGCGAAUCUCGGAAAGCCGGUCUCAGUUCGGAUUGGGGUCUGCAACUCGACCUCAUGAAGUCGGAGUCGCUAGUAAUCGCAGAUCAGCAACGCUGCGGUGAAUACGUCCCCGGGGCU
rnacentral:rRNA from 1 species